CCUUCGCGGCUCUCGCAGCCGGCUCCGCUCCCGGCUCGGCUGCGCAUCGCGGGAGCGCUCUGACAGCACCUGCAGGACAGCGCGGGCACUCGGAGCCGGGAAGGGGAAUAAGUUGGCUACAUUAUCUUUGGAAAAUGAAGGAAGGAAUAGUUUAGGACAUGACCAUUCAAAAACUCUUUGGUGGGGGUGGAAGUUUCAGCAACCAGUUCUUUUUUUCAGGUUCCUGUUAUGCAGCUGCUGUUGACCCUACUGUUGAUUCAGAAAGGUAAAUGUUCUCCUUUUCAACUCUCUCUGGAAGAUUGCCUUUUGCUGCAUGAAAACAUGCUUCUUGUAUUGUUAUAGUAACAAUAGUUAAGUGACCUGCUCGUGUGCCACCAGAAAAAUCACUUCCAUGCCCCCAAAGAGGGCUCUCAAAACCUAAGAGUUCCAGCAAAGACAGUCUCCUUGUGGAAGACCAUGAAAGGUUUGAGCUCUAGGUUUUAGAUCUGUUAUACUGAAUGUAAAAGGCCUGGAAAAAGCAAGACUGGACAGAGACUGACAAGAUAGACCAAUCAGUUGUGUUACAAAAAAAAGAAGUAGCCAAAGUGGUAGAAGCACAGAGGAGGGACUGCUGUGGGAAUGCAAAAGAAAAAUGGGAGCAUGGGAACUGCCUCCAUGUGCCGGCAUCCUCAGCCAUUCCUCGCGUGGCUGCUCGGGGUGCUGGGGCAGCCCUUGGGGUUUUGGGAGGUCACAGGUGAUCACAUUUACAAGAGGAAAAAAAGGAAACUAUCACUUGUUGAGAAGACUCUUCACAGGAUUUGUGAUAACUCUCCAAAUUCUGAAGCCUGCUGAAAUUUUCCUUGACAGCCUAAACCAGAAUGUGCAGCUCCACCUGAGGCAUCUAAAGAGCAAUAAAUAGCUAUUGAAAGGCAGCUGUCAUUGUGACUGUGUGUGAAUUCCUUUCCCUCCCCAGUUUUGAUGGAUUCAGUCUGGACAGGGAGCAAAGGCUGCACCUUUGGAUGAUAUGAGCAGGCUUUUACACUUGUGAAUCUUUAGUGUUAUCUUGAGAAGUAAACUGUCCUUUUGCAGUGAAUCCCUGAAAAUGUAUUAGUUCAGCUGUGCAUUUACUGAAGGAUAAAAGCUUUCUUCUGUGAGCAGUUGGAAAGCCAGAGAGGCAAACAAAAAAUCAGCCAUGUUCUGCAGCCCUAGCCCAAAAGACUUGUCGCUUCCUGAGCCAGCAUUGCCCAGCACAGAUGCAGGCAGCCAGUGACACCUUCAGCAUGGAAAGUUAUAUGGGACUAAUUUGGGUCCUAGACCAAGUUUCCAACACUGCUCUUCUCACCAGGGCUUGAAGAGGGAUUACUGUGCUCUGUGUUGAGUAUAAUAUAUAGUAUCUAUUUGUAAAAAAUACAACCUGAGAUAAAAUGCUUGCCUAGGGAGUGGGAUAGAGUGGUCCAGGCUCUUCACAGCUUGCAGUGAUUUAAUACCAUUUUUGCUGUCCAGAGAAACAGGCAAUUGUGAUGAGAUUAAAAAAAAAACAGUCUGCCCUUUGCUCUGCCAGCCCUGGCAUCUGGGUAGAUGUUCAGAUAAGGGUGCCAGUAGGUUGUAGCUGAUCUGCCCCGUGAGACAGCACUCUGUGAGGAGGGAGUGAAGUGAGGGCCGGGAGGGGGAACAGGGCAAAGCAGCCACCCUGCAGCAGAUUUAGCUCUAUUUUGGGGGGUGGCAGGGGCAGACCCCGGGAAGCAUCGCAGUGCCUGCCUUGGGGAGGAGUUGCUCUAACCCUGGGAGGCUCAGUGCCUGUCUUUUCCCUUGUCUCACCCUCUUCUGAUUAAAGCCUGCUUGCUGUUUUCUUCUCAGUGGGAGUCAGCAGCUGUGAGCAGUCAGCAUUUCCGCCAGAAGGAGAAGGAGCUGUUCCCUACCCAAACUUUCUGAGGGGUGUAUGGUUCAGUUUGCUGCGUGUCAGCAAAUUAACAUCACCUCUACAGGUGAAUGGGCACUGAGUCAGGGUUAGUCUGGUAAGGAGAGGAAUGAGAAAGAUUAGUACUGACCAGGAGCAUUGAAGCCUGCACACUACUGGGAGGAGGUGUUGAGUAACAUUUUAGCCUGUCUGGAUCUGUCCAAAAUGCUAUCACACUGUAUUAUGUUUCUUUAAUAUCAGCUAGUAAUUCUUCUCAUGAUAUUUGUAGUUAGCAAAUACACGUGUGACUGUUGUCAAUUGAAGUAAUAAUGGUGUAAUUUGAAAACACUGUUUUAAAAUGAAAAGUUGUAAAAUGGUACUAAGACAACAGUGUAAUGGGAUUACUUUCGUGAAAAUUACAAACUGUGAAUUAUAAAUAAGAGAAGAAUAGAAGACUUUUUUUUUUUUUGGUGGAAAAUGUAAUAAAUGCAAGGGAAGCCGAAAGUUUCUCAUUGAUCCUUUUCCCAGAGAUCACUGAGGGAACCUUUCAUGCAGAACAGUCUGUCUUUGAAGAAGAUGCAGUUUUUGUAUGUUCAGUCUCUGCAAGUCCCUCACAGCUACAGCAGAGUGUGCACCUGUGGAUCCAUAUUGCUAUGUGCUCUUGGGCUUAUCUCCAUCUGGACUUGAAACCCUGCUUAGAAUAUAUCCUGCCUUCACACUAUGGAAUCAUGCUGCCUAGGCUAUAUGAGUGUCCUAAGCUAACCUCUGAAAUGCUGGCUCUCUAGACCAUCAUGGAGUUGGGUCAAUAAUGUUUUGCCUUAUCAAAGCAUUUAUAAAAUCUGAUUUUUCUAGAUGGCUAGGUGGUGUAAUAUUCAGUAUUCUAAUGGAGUUUCUUAAUCUACCAUCACUCUUUACUGUGAUCUUGGCCCAUGUAAUUUGAUUAGCUGUUUAUAACUUUAGUACCUAAUAUAUAAAAAAUGGCAGUGAGCUGGAAAUAUUCAGAAGAACCAGAAAAGCAGACUGGGAGCUGUGGGCCUUUUGUAACUGCUGACGUAUCCUGAGAGGCCCUUACACUGAAUUUAUCCAGUACUUUCGAGCUUUAUGUUAAAAUAAAUAAAUAAGUAAA